rnacentral:lncRNA from 1 species
UUCGUGCCAAAUCAGAAGAGGGUCAAGUAAAGAAGAAGCCGAGCUCCUUCAUCUUCAAAACUCGUUUGAGGGCUUCUCUUUACUCUAUUUGUUUAUAUUGUCAUAUUUGCUUGUUUAAGAAGCUUUGUUUUGUUUUAUACUUUGUUUUAAUAUCUUGUAACUUGAUUCAAUCAAGGGAUUGAAUCAAGGGGUUAAGGUUUGUUGGUGAGCCAAAGAAAAAACCAACUGUGUAAGGUUUGUUGGUGAGCCAAAGGGAAAACCAACUGUGUAAGGUUUGUUGGUGAGCCAAA